rnacentral:rRNA from 1 species
GUCAAAUUAGAGGAAGUAAAAGUCGUAACAAGGUUUCCGUAGGUGAACCUGCGGAAGGAUCAUUAACGAGUUUGAAAUCGAGAGCCUGUUGCUGGUGCGGAAACGCACAUCGUGCACGGCUCCCGUGCUCAAUCCAUUUCAACCCCCUUGUGCACCUUAUCGAAGUCAGUAGUCUUUCUCUUUUUGUUUGCCGGUUGUGUGCGGGAACCUCUUUCUGUUCACUUGGCCGGCGAGGAGAAAUAGAGGGUCGAAAGCUUUGACUUUUCUGUUAAACACUUUGUAUGUCUUGUGGAACGUAUUAGCUCCUUUGUAGGGGCGAAAUAAAUACAACUUUCAACAACGGAUCUCUUGGCUCUCGCAUCGAUGAAGAACGCAGCGAAAUGCGAUAAGUAAUGUGAAUUGCAGAAUUCAGUGAAUCAUCGAAUCUUUGAACGCACCUUGCGCCCCUUGGUAUUCCGAGGGGCAUGCCUGUUUGAGUGUCAUGUUAAUCUCAAACCCCUUGUCUUUUUUGUUGACUUGGUCGGUUUGGACUUGGAGGUGUUGCUGGCGUGCGUCGGCUCCUCUUAAUUGCAUUAGCUGGACUUUGGUUCGCAUUUGACGGUGUAAUAGUAAAGUGUUCGCCGGGCGUGCUUGCCUAACGGGUCUGCUUCUAAUCGUCUUCGGACAACUCUGUUCAUUUUGACCUUUGACCUCAAAUCAGGUAGGACUACCCGCUGAACUUAAGCAUAUCAAUAAGCGGAGGAAAAGAAACUAACAAGGAUUCCCCUAGUAACUGCGAGUGAAGCGGGAAGAGCUCAAAUUUAAAAUCUGGCGGCUUUCGGUCGUCCGAGUUGUAAUCUGGAGAGGCAUUUUCCGCGCUGGACCGUGUAC